GGCCAAAGAAGGAAUCGAAGAUUGGAGGCGUAAAAGGCAGGAUAUUGAGGCCAAUAACCGGAAAGUAAACGUAUACACUGAAAAUCAUACUUUCCAAGAGACUAGAUGGAGAAGUUUACGAGUUGGUGAUCUUAUUAAGGUGUACAAGGAUCAAUAUUUUCCCACUGAUUUGCUUUUGCUUUCAUCAAGCUACGAGGAUGGGAUAUGUUAUGUUGAAACCUCCAAUCUUGAUGGAGAGACUAACCUUAAGGUGA
rnacentral:misc_RNA from 1 species